rfam:Acidimicrobium sp. BACL27 MAG-120823-bin42 contig00653_1_120823-bin42, whole genome shotgun sequence.
GGGGCUAUAGCUCAAUUGGUAGAGCGCUUGCAUGGCAUGCAAGAGGUCAGGGGUUCAAUUCCCCUUAGCUCCA